CAACAAGCAAAGGCUUGACUCUACUCGCUUGGUUGAUUUCAUUGGUUUGUUGACUGCGCUGCAUUACGAGUGUGUCUCUGAUGAUGUUGAUGGGUUGAUAACCGUUGCUAAGAUUGAACUCACCGAUGAGAGAGGAAGGCUGGAAUGUGAGUUGAAGGGUGUCUUUCUUGCUC